rnacentral:rRNA from 1 species
AUCGAACGCUGGCGGCAGGCCUAACACAUGCAAGUCGAGCGGAUGAAGGGAGCUUGCUCCUGGAUUCAGCGGCGGACGGGUGAGUCAUGCCUAGGAAUCUGCCUGGUCGUGGGGGAUAACGUCCGGAUACGGGCGCUAAUACCGCAUACGUCCUGAGGGCGCAAGUGGAGGAUCUUCGGACCUCACGCUAUCAGGUGAGCCUAGUUCGGAUUAUCUAGUUGGUGGGGUAAAUGCCUACCAAGGCGAGGGUCCGUACAUGGUCUGAGAGGAUGAUCAGACACACUGUAACUGAGACACGUUCCACACUCCUGCGGGAGGCCGCAGUGGGGACUAUUGGACGAUGGAGCAAUGCCGGAUCCUGCCCUGCCGCGUGUGGCAAGAAGCACUUCUGAUGGUUGAGUACUGUAGGUUGUGAGGUUGUGCAGUAAUUUAAUACCUGGCGGUAUUGACGUUACCAACAGAAUAAGCACCGGCUAACUUCGUG